CCUGAACCGAAUACUGACCAGUGUCUAGUUGAGCUACGACCAGCGAGACGACAUCAGUCAAGAGAAAGAGAAGUUUGUCGGUCAGAUUCCGCCAAUACCCCAAAGGUACGAGACGAUCUCCAAGGAUGACGGUUCUCAACAAGAUUUCGCUGUUGGUCAGCCUUCACCUUCGUCUGUUUCUUGAUUGGAUUUGCCAGGUUUUCGCAGCUAGAUACUUAUGUCCACUUACGGAGGAAAAUUUAUUAAGCAAUUUUUCUAAAGAGGAGCGUCGUCUUCUGUUGUCAGAAGCCCUUACCCGCCGAUGGUGGUAUGACGGAUGCACAAUAUUAUUAAAAUGUUUUCGAGAAGAUACAUCAUGUACCUUAUCUGGUAGAAGGGCCAUUGAAAACAGGAUGAUGGAGGUUCUUCGGAAUCGUUUAGCAAUAACAAGGUGUUUGACCUCUGUUGACUUGUCCAAGUGUCCAGUGUCCAAACCAAUAUUCAUAAUUGGAUCAACACGAACCUGUUCCACUUUUUUGCAAGCCCUAUUGUGCCAAGACCCUCAAAACACCUCUCCAUGUUACUAUGAGUUGAUGAGCCCUGUGCCUGAUAGCAGCGCCAGUA